AAACCAGCACCUCAAGUGGUCAGGAUGAUUAUUGGGCCUAAAGCAUCCGUAGCCUGUUCUAUAAGUUUCCGGUUAAAUCCAUUAGCUCAACUAAUGGGCUGCCGAAAAUACUGUAGAACUAGGGAGUGGGAGAGGUAGACGGUAUUCGGUAGGAAGGGGUAAAAUCCUUUGAUCUAUUGAGGACCACCUGUGGCGAAGGCGGUCUACCAGAACACGUUCGACGGUGAGGGAUGAAAGCUAGGGGAGCAAACCGGAUUAGAAACCCGAGUAGUCC
rnacentral:rRNA from 1 species